UCCCUCGUGGUCCAGUGGCCAGAUUCUCCGCUUUCACCGGAGCGGCUGGGGUUCGAUUCUCCGCCAGGGAG